ACACCUGCAUUGGGCACCUGAACUUUCUUUGUUCCAUACCCUCCACUCUUGGUACCUCAGGUUUGGGUGACCUCUAUUAGUGGAUCUUUUCUCCUGUGACUCGGUAAUUGCGAAUAGCCAGGUCUCUCUCAAUGAGAGUUUGGAGGAGGGGGAACUAUUACCCUUGUCUUUAUAUUUCUCUCAUUCCUACCUAUCUCUCUAUGCCUGUUUCCUCUUCUACAAAACUGGGAUAAUAAUAGUUAUCCAUAGGAUUAUUAGUGAAGACUAAAUGAGUUAAUGCAUACGAAGAAGCUAGAACAGUGUCAGGCACUAUCAAAAUUUUGCUGUGGUUGUUAUUAACAGUAUUGUUAGUAUUAUUACUGCCCUGGCUUGAGCUCAGUCAAGAAUGGCAUGUGGCCAAUUCUCAGCUACAGUUAAUAGUAGUUUAUAGUUAAUAAAAGCCAACUGAAGAGGGAGAAUUCAAAUAUAUUCAUUCAGUAAUUUUUGUGAUAUCCACUAUGUGCUAGGCACAGUGUUAUUUACUGACAACUUUCUAUGAUCUAAUAAAGCCAGAGGAGCUGUGUUCAAACAAUAAUUAAAAGCAUCAUAAAGAUGAACUCAGAGUUUAAUGUAAAGAAUGCCUAGACCCUUGGUCAGUGGCAUGAAUGGCAUUUCCUUGCCUACCUUGGCUGAAGCAAGGGUCCGCUUCCCAACUGAAUUCUUACUCUUUUAACUGACAACACUUACACUUUGUUCCCUUCUCUGCUUGAGAUUUUUUACAGUUUCAUCCUAUUUCUCCUCUGGAUUUCCCCCCUACACAACCACAAUGCUUCAUUUGUUUAGAUCAGUUUAAUCGUUUUCCAGGCAUGGUGAACAGUUUUCCUAUGUGCUUCUUAUUCUCUUCACCAUAGUUCUCGACAUCUAUUGGUUCUAUAAGUUGAUUCAGCCUAGUGGAUGUGUUUGGUGUUUUAAGUUGUGUCAGAUAUGGAGUUAAAAGGUAAAUAUUAAGCUGUUCUUUUUCUUGAGGAGCCCUAUAGUUCCAUGUGGAAGAGACAGGCCCCAAAGUAGGGCAUCUCAGUAUGUUAUGGGGAGUCUGAACGCACAGUAUGCUUUGGCAUCCAUCCAUGUCACAGCUUCCCCUCCACCCCCGUUUCUCAUUACAACACGUACUGCCCAUUAUGUGAAAACCUGGUAUUCUUGACUCACAAUCUGUAGGCGUUACACUCUGUUUUAUACUCUGAGUUUUUUCCAGUACUGGUAAUGGGUUGUACUGAAUCAUUUAUUUACAUUUCCUUGGCCAGUUUAUUUUGACACAUGACAUGUAUUUACUGAUGGAGAAAACACAUGCAGUUUGUGGAUAUGGUGUAAUAUUUUUCCUUUGGAAAUAGAAGAGAGACCUCACUUAAGUUUUACUGGAUGAAUAGUCACCUUGAUGUUUUUAAAUGGUUUCAAAGCAGUACAUGCUGCACUAUCCCUUCUGUGCUUAUUUACAUACAUGUAGACACAUACAUGUUACAAAGAAUAGGAAGAAGAUAGUAAUAUAUAUAUAAUGUACUAUUUGAAUAAUAUUUGAAGCAAAGGAAAACAAGUGGCACAUCACUAAUUUGGACUCUUUCACAUGUUUAUUACCAUAUUUAUUUAUUGAGACUAAGCAUCCAUGCCUUCAUUAAUCCUUAGUGCUUGCUAUGAAAUUAUUUCUUGUUCCACAUAUUUUUAAUCAAUCUGGAUCCAAGUUCAGUCAAUAUUUAAUACACUGUAGGAAUUUCUUUCACUUUAUUGAAUUUGCAUUGCUCAUCUAGUUCUAGAAUAACUUAUUUUCUUAUAGUUAUUGUGCCUAUAAUUCUGUUAUUUCCUCAAGAAGAGUAGGGAUAUCUAGCUAUGACUUGGUGGGACCACAGAUUAGAUCUUUCCAUCUUAGGUUAUGUAGCAGUAACAUUAGCACAUGAUCCAACUUCUUACACGAUGCUUUGGCCAAGAUGUUACUCUUAGUUUUUCUCCCAUCUCUCUGAGUGGUACUUUUGGCAUGGUUUUGUAGCCUUUGGUCCCUCUGCUGGUGUCUCCAGUGUUCCCCAGGAUUUUCUCCUUGGCCCAUUUCUAUCUAUCUUCUUCUUAUACAUGCUCCAUUUGUCAUCUCAUUCACUCUCAUGACUUUAAGUAACACCCAUAAGAUUUUUUUUCUUAGCCACACCUGAGGCCAGGGAUCGAAACCAAGAUCUGAGCAGUGACCCAAGCUGCUGUAGUGACAACACAAAUCCUUAACCCACUGAGCCAUAAGAGAAUUCCAAAUGCCCAUAAGAUACUGAAUGCCUGAUAUGUAUUUCCAGGCUGGAUCUUUUCAGCUUCCUAAGGAAAUCACCAGGACCUCGCAAUGGCGCUACAAGCCCUACCUGACUCUAUUGAAAUCUGUCACUUGUUCCUCCUCCUUGUCCCCUUCAUGGUGAAGCAGCAUUUCUCUACAGAGAAACCAAAGUCACUUGUGAUGCUCUUUCUCUUUCACCUUCCACAUGAAAUCCUAUCAUUCAACCCAAGUGCACCUCCCCUGUUCUUUCUGAUUUCCUGACACUGCUUAACUCAAAGCCUUUCUCAUCCCUUACCUGAAAGACUGACAGACUCUCUCUUUCAUUUCUUACUUCUACUACCCACAUUGCCAUGAGUACCAACUUUCAAACAUGUACCUCCUUCAUUCUGAGUCAUGCCCAUGGGCUGUAGGAUAAAGUUCAAACUCUCCAGCAGGACCUACAAAGCACUCUUCCACAUCUGGCUGAGCAAUCAGCCUCAUCUCCUAGUUCAGGUCUCCUCAUGAUGCUCAGACAAGUCCUUUGCCCCAGACACUUCACCUUUUCCCAAUAUGGUCUUUGCCCUUUUAUUUUUUUGUAUUUUGUUCAUGCUAUUUAUUCUCUGUGGACUGCCCUCCCUCUUCCCUCUUCUCUGCUGAGAAAACUCUUCCUCAUUUUUUUUUGUCUUUUUUUUUUUUUUUUUUUUAGGGCCACACCUGUGGCAUAUGGAGGUUCCCAGGCUAGGGGUCCAAUCAGAGCAGUAGCAGUCAGCCUAUACCACAGCCACAGCAAUGCCAGAUCCUAGCCACAUCUGCAACCUACACCACAGCUCAACACCGGAUCCUUAACCCACUGAGUGAGGCCAGGAAUUGAACCCACAACCUCAUGGUUCCUAGUCGGAUUUGUUUCCACUGCGCCACGACAGGAACACCUCUUCCUCCUUUUUUAGGGCUCAUUGCAGAUCUCACCUGCUUGAGAUGCCUUUUCCAGGCUUCCCACUCUGUGGGCUGCUCCUCACACUGUGCCUCCACAUCACUCUGUACUGACCUUGGAUAUGUUCAACACCAGAACUCAGUAGUGCACUCAUUUAUCUCUUUUAUAACUAAACUUUGAGCUCUGGUUGGAUAGGAAACUUCAAGUCAUCCAACAUUUUUUCAAUUACCCAACGCAGUCCCUGUCAUAUACAAGACUCCCUCAACUGUAGACCAAAGAAGUAAACUUUAUAGUAAUAGUUAAAGAAAUAUCAAGAAAAGCAUUUUGUGUUUUUUUUUUUCUCAUGCCCGUCCUCAGCUGUAUCAGUCACUUAUUUGUCCAUCUUUCGGUUUCCUCCGUCUCCUUUAAUACUACUCUCUCAUCUUUCUUUCAGGUAUGGGCCUUCAGUAUUGCAAAGCAUUAGAACCGGAUAUAUCUGCAGUUUCCUGGUGGUUUGGAGUGUUAAUAUUUUAAACACCUUUGAGUUUAAUAGCCUGUCUUUCUCUAAACUAGACCUGUCAGUGAGAGUGCCAAGUGCCUCCUCAGUUCUCCCACCUCUGAAACGCCCUAGCUGUUCAAUCCUAAUUGGAAACAUUUUAGGGGUAGAAGUGGCUUUUUGUUACUCUAAAUUUCUGUUAACCUAAGGGAUGGCUUUGCAUCACAUUCAUAUGCCUUGUGGUUGCCACCUUUUUAUUUUUUGUGUGGCCAAAAUUCAUAAAUCAAGAUCAGAACACCCAGUUUUUCUCAAAUCAUCCUAAGCUGUCAUGAUCUUAUUUUUUUCCAAUCAGAAUGAGAUUUUUCUCACAAGCUGUGAUUCUUACUCCACCAACUCCUCCUUCCUGAUAGAAACUUCAUAUAUAUUGAAGGGGCUUUGUGUGUUCUAUUAUUAUUAAAGCUAUAUUUUGUCAGAUUAAUGCUGUCUGUUCACAAAGAAGCAUUGCCAUUUUCUUCUCAAUGUAAUUGGGCAGGGGUUGAAUACCUUUAUAAACAAAAAUAUAAAACAAUUCUUAACAUAUUCUGAUAAAUAAUAUAGUCCCAAAAGAUAUUUCCUUUGUGAUAAAUUGAACUCUAAUUCAUGAAUUUUUAAAUUGUUCCUUCCUGCUAUAGACAUGAAUUUCUAAAGUGUGUGUGUGUGUGUGUGUGUGUGUGUGUAGACAUUAAUUAUUGUCAGGGUGGGGAGUAGAGCAAAUUGUAGCCCUAAAUUUCUUUUAAUAAUAAUUUAUAUAUCCAUGUCUCUUUUCCAAAUCUGGCUUCCUUAUUAUUUUAAUGGUUUCUAGCUUUACUACUAAUGCAUGAACUUGACUUUUCUAAAUCAUCUUUUUAAAUGGAAAGUAAAAGCUGUGAAAUGCAAAAACAAGUUAACAAUAGUAAGUUAAUAUUUAUUGAACACUUACCAUGUGCCAGACACUCGAAUAAGCACUUUAUAUAUACUGUCUCCUUUGGUCAAGAAUUAUAAUCCAAAUGCAAACACUAAAUGAAAUACUUAAAAGCAAAGGGAGUUCCUCUUGUGGCGCAGCAGAAACGAAUCCAACUAGGAACCAUGAGGUUGGGGGUUCGAUUCCUGGCCUUACUCAGUGGGCUAAGGAUCCGGUGUUGCCAUGAGCUGUGGUGUAGGUCACAGACACAGCUUGAAUCUGGCAUUGCUGUGGCUGUGGCGUAGGCCGGUGGCUAUGGCUCCGAUUAGACUCCAAGCCUGGGAACCUCCAUAUGCCAUGGGUGCGACCCU
ensembl:lncRNA